rnacentral:lncRNA from 1 species
AAAAGCCUACACAAAUAUACAACAUUGGUCCGUAAAUGUAAAACUUAAUAGCCCAAAUGACUUUAAACCAUUUUUAAAUCUACUUCUACAUGAUAUAAAAAGUAAUUAAUUACGUAUCAUUGUAAUAUUUAGGAUUAUUUCCCGCCAAAAAAAUAUGCUAUAGUUUAGCUUAUAAUUUUUUGGUUAUCAAAAAAAAAAAAAAAACUUGAAAAGAAAUUUAAAUUGCUAUUUUAUAUGUUCAAUCGCUAAUGCAUUUCCUUUUUUUCUCCUUUUUCAAUUGGAACUCUCUCUCUCUCUCUCUCUCUCUUCUCUCNNNNNNNNNNNNNNNNNNNNNNNNNNNNNNNNNNNNNNNNNNNNNNNNNNNNNNNNNNNNNNNNNNNNNNNNNNNNNNNNNNNNNNNNNNNNNNNNNNNNCCUCUCUCUCUCUCUCUCUCUCUCUCUCUCUCUCUCUCUCUCUCUCUCUGCAAUUUCUCAAGUGAUUUGAUCUUCUCUAGGGUUUUAAAUUUCAGCUCAAAGUUACAAAAAAAAAAAACCUUUAGAGGUACGAAGCAUAACUCUUCUUGUUAUUCCGAAGAUGCAACCAAAGACAGAUUUCGUGAAGUUCUUAGGAAAAGGCUCGUACGGAUCAGUCGAUCUUGUCAAGUACAUCGAAAACGACGGCUCGUGUCCUGUUUACGCAGCCGUGAAAACAUCUGAAUGUGAAGACUACGACUCUCUCCGAAGAGAGAUUCAUAUUCUAUCCAAACUCAAGGGAUGUCGAAGCAUCGUGCAGUGCUAUGGGAAUUAUAAGUUAGAGGAGGACUUUGAUGACGAGGGGUUCCGAGUCUACAAGAUUUUCAUGGAGUACGCAGCAGAAGGGAACUUAACAUCGCUCAUGGACAGUUACAAAGAUAGAAGAUUGCCGGAAACCAUGAUCAAAGACUUCGCUCGUAUGAUUCUCCAAGGAUUGGUCUCUGUUCACAGCCACGGUUAUGUUCAUUGCGAUCUAAAACCCGAUAAUCUCCUUGUCUUCCCAUGUAGACAGUCUUACGAAUUGAAGAUCUCAGAUUUCGGGUCUUCGAGAAAAGUCGGAGAACAUGCGGAUUGUUGGGAAGUUGAUUCACCGUUUGUUGGAACGCCUAUCUACAUGUCGCCAGAAUCAGUCCACAGCGGCGUGGCUGAGAAAGCCCUAGAUUUGUGGUCGUUAGGGUGCAUAGUAUUGGAGAUGUUUACCGGUGUGAGUCCAUGGUCGGAUGUUGAUUUUGAUGAUCUUGCGUCUCUUCUAUUGGAUUGGAAAGCGCCUGAGAUACCAGAGAGUGUACCCUGUCAUGCAAGGAAGUUUCUAGAAACGUGUUUCGCAAGGAACCCUAAGGAGAGAGGUAGCGCUUAUGAUUUAUUGUUGCAUCCGUUCUUGCGUGGUGAACAGAAGAUGGAGAAUGUGAUUUCCGGCUUCUCACUGCCGCCACUGAAGUUGAAGAUUAGAAGAGCUCCGAAGAAGUCUACGGAUACUUCUAAAAAGGCCAUGAAGUUAAAGAUUAUUCCACCAAAGCCCCCACAGUUUAAACCCCUGAAGGUGAAGAUUAUGCCUCCCAAGACUCCAGCUUCUAGUUUUAUUCAUGUUUAAUAGCGUGUUGAAGGCAUCUCUGUUACUUGGUUUUAGAACUGUAGCUCAAUAUACAUAUCAAUACCAAAUGUACAUCGUCUCAGUUCUUAAUGUUUGUAACAACAUCAACAAUUACAUACACUUUUGCUUGAAUAAUUUCUUUGAGGUACUUUACAUAUCCACAUUAUAUAUUUCCUGUGCUUUGCUCUAUGUUAGAUUUGCAAUCCAAAGUGUGUCCAAGUCUGACGAAAUAAAAAAUUAGGACUCUUCACUAUAUGGCAUAUAGUAUAAGUAGUCACAUGAGAUGUCGAGAAGUCGGAGGUCAUACAAUAAAUCUCAUUACUAUAACCGUUUUCGCAUCUAUUUUGCUAAUACACUUGCAGAUUGCGAAAAAGAUUAACAUUAAAAUCCACCAACUUUAGUUUUCAAGAGUAUAUCAAGCUUAGUAUAGUUUUUACACUAAAAAGGAACCAACCACUGAUAUAUUCUUCAAACCUUUAAACAGAAACAGAGGUUUUUGUUAUUUACCAUAAAACUCUUUGAAACAGAGAUUUAUUAACAUACAAAAAAAAAAACAAAAGACCCUUUUAAGAAAAGCAAAAAGAAACCCAAAAACAUUUCUUCAUCAACGUUGUCCAUGUUGUUGUCUCAUAUACUCAGGAUCAGUAGUUCCACGUUCAUGUGUCCUCCCAGGCUCAUCACCAAUCACUAUGUUCUUCGUCGUCUGCGCAAUCUCAGCUAUAGUCUCGCCGAUUGCCCCAAGCACUCCUCCCGCUCCAACACCUUCUUCUUGGACAUAUCUCUCAUUGCCUCUUCCUCCUCCGUAUUCCUCUCCGACCAUUCCUUUUGUUCCAUAUCCGAAGACAUCUUUCUCACUCCCUCUUUCUCCUCCAUACUCCUCCCCAACAUCUCUCCUCGCUUCUCCGGACAUUCCUUUUGCUCCAUACCCGUAGACAUCUUUCUCACUCCCUCGUUGUUCUCCAUACUCUUCUCCAAAGCCUCUCCUUUCUUCUGUGACAAACCCUGGGCGCUUCUCUUCCUCACCUCCCUCAAAACAAAUUCAAACACACAGUUUCUUGAGAUCCACGUAACAUCAUCACACUGGAAUGAGUUAAAAAAAUAUUGAGCUUGACUAUAAUUUGUGCAAUACCUGGUACAUUUCUUGGUCUCUGUGUUGAGCUUCUUCUUUCUUCCUAGCCGUAUACCCAACCACCGUAUCAGCAGCCACCGCAGCUUUUUCCUUAGUCAACUCCACCGCCUUAGAUCCUACUUCCACCGCCUUAUGCCCUGCGUACCCCACCGCUCCUUCCACUGUACCAGCAACCGCUUUCGUCCCUUGCACCACUUUCUCUGUAGUGAAAUGUGCCGCUGUCCACCCAGCCGUCGCCGCUUUCUCAGCUGCAACUCCGGCGUAAUGUGCCGCUCCUUUUCCUCCUUCCACCGUAGCUUCUUUAACGUACCCAGCCGCUUCACCUGCUUUCUGAACAGUGUAAUCCUUUGCUUUUGCUGUCAUUGAAGCUGCCUCUUGUCCUUUCUGAGAUGCAACGUUUCCGGCUACUUUUCCUUUUUCGGUCACAUACUCGGAAGCUCUUUGAGCUUUCUCAGCCGCAAUCUCUUUUGCUUCAAGUGCUUUCUGCAGUGUGUAGUCUUUCGCUCUCGCCGCCUGUUCAGCGGCAGUGUUUCCCGUUUCCCUUCCUUUUUCCAUCGCAUACUCGGAAGCUCUCUUAGCUUUCUCGGCUGCCGUGUCUUUGGCUUCUCCAGCUUUCUCCAUACUGUAAUCUUUAGCUCUCAUAGCUUGUUCCUUUGCCUCCUGUCCUUUCUGAGCCGCCACUUGUCCAGUUUCCCUUCCCUUCUCUGUCACGUAAUCGGAAGCUCUCUGAGUUUUCUCACUUGCAGCGCUUCCCGCUUUCUGAGCACCUUGUCCAACACUUUCCUUAGCUUGCCUUCCUUUCUCAGUCACUGUAUGUGUUGCACUCCGGCCACCACCACCGGCUGAUUCUUGACCUUCACGCUCUCUCAUCUCUUGACCUCCGGCAGCCAAAACAUCAGCAUGGCGUGCUUUCUCCCCGUGAAAACCAUGGACACCACCCUCUCUUUCUCCUCCUUCUCUGCCACGAGCUUCAUGGCCGAAGACAGCAGCAGCUCCUUCGCCACUACCAACACCCUUAAAGUGAGAAACAUGGACACCACUGUCCCGGCCUAAUUGUCCCUCCUUUUCAUCACCUCCUCUGCCACGAGCUUCUUGCCCACCAUGACUCAAACCCUCCUUGGCCUUGUUAUAGCGUUCCUCUGCUGCUCGUAUCGUAUCCAUCGACUUCUGCUGAGCAUUGGCUCUAUAUCCACGAAUAUCCUCUAGCGAAGCCUUCUCAUGCUCCUUUUUCUCAUCCUUCGUCUUCCCCGUCCCAGAUUCGCUGCUCAUCACGAAUUUUCCAACGGAGUGAGGCAUCUGAGUCCUCUUCAUCUUUGUCUCCCCUUCUCCUUCAUCAGAAACCGGCAUGUUACUCCCUUUGUCUGAGAGCGACACGAACUGUGUGUCACCACCUUCUGUUUGAUGCCUCUGCAUCUCGGAGUCUUUGCCUUUAUCGGCCAUGGACUCGAAAUGACUCGUCAUCUUCGGGACUCUGUCUUUCUCCACCUUAACUUCUCUCUCCGUCACCUUGUUAUCCCUCCUUGCUUGCUCUGACGCCAUUCUAAAGCUUACAAAUCACUUACAAGAAACAACUUUAACUUUCAAGAUGAAAACUGGAUAAUUCUUUAUUUUUGUUAUUCUUUAUCUCGGAUGAUUCUUAUCGAGCUGUUUCAUUUCCUGCUUUAUAAUCAAAGAACCGAAAAGACAAAGUUUGGGCGGUCAUGUGGAUUGGGGAAAAGUGUGUGACGUGUUGAGUCUACUAUUGAAACGUGUAGAGAGGCACCGUGACUCACCUUCUUGGAAGUGAUCAGUUUCAAUGUUAUCGAGCCAAUAAAUAAUCUUAGUUUCCUCCACGUAUCUUUCCGUACAUGUACACGUGGAGACUUUCCAGAGCACUUUUGAGUUUUUAGUUUUGAGUUUAAGUUUUGCCUCCCGCUGAUUUUAUCUCAACUUCGACAUCACAUCUGAGCUUCUUCAGGCCCAUUUAUUUCUAUUAUCAGGCCCAAUUAAAGCUCUAAUUUCUUUAGCUCAUUAUCAGUAUCAACUAUCAACUAUUCUUCGAUUGUAUACUUUUGUUUGUAUAUGAUUUUCUUGAGAUGUUUUCUUAUCUCACACAGUCAAGAAUCAGGAGAGCACAAAGAAAAGAUAACUAAAAAUAAUUGAUUGUUGUUAUUUCUUUUUAAGUUAAAACUUAUACAUCGACAAGAAAAAAGAAAACAAGAAUUAUUUAGGAAGAGAAAAGAGUAGAGUAAAAGAGCACGUUCCAAGUAUCAGGCAAACCAGGAAGACACCAAUGGCUACAGUCAUUACCAGGAUGGUUCCCACUGAAAGCAGAAGGAUGAGCAUCUUUACGAAGCUGAGAGAGACCGGUUAUAUCGAGCCAAUGGACCGGUUUCCUCAAUCUCCUCAUCACUUUGUUUAGAACCACCCAAGCCAUUGGCAUCCCUCCUGGAUACCUCCUCCCGUAGAAUGGCUGCGUCUGACUCCUACAUGAGUUCAUUGGCUCCCCCCAAUCCUUUCCCCUGCAAAAUCAUAUCCAACAAACCUUAAUUAUAACUAUCUAUAGGAUACUAAAAUGUUGGUUAUUGAUAUCUAAAUACCCCUAAUUAAGUAAUUAAUGUCUGGAUAGUGUUUAAGGAUUAUGUAAGUAAAGUAAUGCCUAGUAAUUUAAGGAGUAACAUAAACACCGUAGGCCAUGCUCAAUUUGAUAUAACUAAACCGAUUUAUAGAACAAUAAGAUUUAGAUUGAUGGAAGUAUAUUUACUCGUAAUGAGUUGGAGACACGCCGUUGAAGAAGACUUUGGUCUUGGAAGGAUCGACGUAAGUAUUAACCCAUCGAGCCCAAGUGGUCAUGCCUUUGUAGAAAGCAAUGAGCCGGUUCAUGUCUUUAUACAAUCUAUUCCCAUCUUCCAUGUAAUCCCACCUGCAAAAAACAUCCACACGUCAUCAGAUUUGCCAAAAGUCAAAACCAAAAGAAAAAAAGACAGAGCCAAAGUAAAAAAAAAACACAUACGGCUGGAUGUGCUCGGUGUGAGUCCACCAAUGCCACGAGUUGAAAAUCAAAACGUCCAUGCCUCUCCACAUGUUGCCUUGCUUAAUGGAGUUUAGUUUAAGCACUCUCCCAACUUUCUCCACAUUUAAAUCUACUAAGAAUUGGGUUCUGUAAAGCAUCAACGUCACUCCGUAGUCCUGUGUAAGUACCCAUUACAAAACACAAAUUUAGUUCACUAGAUACUCGAGUAUACACAAUUUUAAUCAUGUACAUGUGUAAAAUGUAACUGGCCAUGUGCUUUAAUAUCAUGGGAAAAUUAAAGAAAAAAAGCGAAUCUCUUUUGUUUGCGUGGCUCGUGAUCAUAAAGAUUAUAAAACAUGGACAUGAUACUCCGGGAGAUUCUUCUUUUUUGGGAAAUAGGCCACUAAUCACGUUCAUCUCUUAAAUGCUCUCUCUCUCUCAUUCUCUUGUCCUAAAAUUACUACGUAUAUAGCCCAUUAUCUUUACAUCAAAUCAAAUGAGACAAACCAAAAGACACUUUAUCCCUAUUUAACAAUCAUUUAAGCGUUAACAAAAGGGAUAAAUAAAGACUUUUCACCACACUUUCCACACUAAUUAAAAAGCUACUACAGUGUUAAAAAUCUCAUAAUAACUCAACUAAAUAUCUAGUUUAUGCUAUAGUAGAACCGAAUAAUAAAUAUAUACCUCGAAGGUGAGUGAAGCAAGACCCUUUUGGCGAAGAAGAGUGUAACGAGCGUUAGGAACCCAAGAAUGAAUCAGACAAGCAAGAGAUUGCCACAUGUUUGUGCUCAGUGAAUCUCCUACGAACAUUAUCUUCUUCCCUCUCAUCUUCCUCAAGAAAUACAACCCAUUGAAUCUGACAAACCAUUGCAAAUAAACAUUUUUUUUUUAAUCUCAAUUCUAGAUCCGCAAGAAAAUAAUAUUAAUAUUAAAAAAAAAACAUGUCCAGCUGGUUUUCAAGCGUUACUUCUACAAAAAAAAAAAGGUUAAAAACUUGUUGAAGUCUUUAUUUACCAAGUCAAGGACACUUUGGUUCGAGCUUCGGAUUCGAUUUUAAACCUUUUUGAAGAGUGAAAUUAUGGGAUUUCCAAGACAUUAUUGCUCCAAAGCAAACACUCAACAGAAAAGUUUCAAAUUUUCAAAUCCAAAAAGGCAAGCAAAAGAGAAGAUAAGAGAGAGAAUACUACUCACUACUACUAUUACUACUGAAAAUAUCUAUAAACUUUGAAAUUCAAUUGAAAAGCUUUUAAGUUACCUUUCUUACCAAUAUGCUUAAAUAUCUCUGCAAACAGCAUUAAACCCAACAAACAUAACUAUUCAAAUUUCCAGCUUUCCAUAUUUAUUAAUGGCAUUAUAAGAAAAAGGAAAAAAAAAAACAGAUUUUGAUUCACAAUACCAAUAGAACAGAGAACAAAAGAAAAGAAAAAAAAUCAAACUUUUCAGUCUGAUAAAUGAAGAAAAGGCAAACAAACACACGGAAAAAAGCAUUGAUCUUCUUGAAUCAAGAAAAGCCAGAAUUAAAGAAUGUAAGAAGAAGAUAAGGAGAGAGGAAGAAGAAGAACCUGGGGAGAGAGCAAGAAGAUGGUUGCCACCGAAACUUAAGAUAAGCAUUGUCAGGACGACCAUACUUCUUACAGUUGAACUGUGGAUCUAUGAAUGGACACUUGUAAGGAUCAUAAAGUGGGUACUUCGCAUCAUAAACCCAGUUCCCUCUAAACCAGUUGCAUCUCCCAGAAGCUAGCUCUCUUCUCACUGUUUCUACUUCUUCUUCUCCAUUAACGUUGCUGCUGCUGCUUGUGUUGUUGUUGUUGAUGAUGUAAGCAGAGACUGUGGUGGAGAGACAGAGUAAGAAGAAGAAGAAGAAGAAGAAGAAAGAAGGGUUUCCUCGGGAAGUGAAACCCAUUCUUCGAUCUGAGAUUGAGAGAUUCUCUGUUUUGGUGAGAGAAGAGAGAGAGCGAGAUUGGCUGUGGGGAAAAGAGGUGGCUUGGACUGAUUUGUUAUAUAAUGAGUUACAAAACACAACAAAAGAGAGAUAGAGAAAGAGAGUGAGAUUGUUCACAUCACAUGGGAAGGGGGAAAACAAGAAACAAGAUCCUUUUUAUGUCUUUUUUCUUAUUAUUAAAUUAUACUUGUUUUUCUUUUAUACAAAAUUAUUAUUAGUACUAGGUACGUUCCAAUAUUUAGUUUCUCAAUUUUUUUUAUUAGAAAAAUAAAAAAUGUUGUAUAAAAAAUACUGUAAUAUCUUUUUACUGCUUUAAAUUAUCUUUAACAGUAAGAAAAGGUUGAGAUUUGUAAAAUUAGCUGAAACCAAAACAUAAAACAAAGUUUGCAGCUAAGUAGAAAAUGAUAAAUUAUUAACUUUCCAGUGUUAAACUCUUUUAGUAUAAUGUUUUUUUUUCUUAUGGUUUCUAAUUAAAUGAUUAAUUAGGAGAAUUGCUAGUUCAUAGUAUAAGUCAUAUUUAAAAAUAAAAAUAAAUAAUAAUUCAUCAUCUUUAUCCAUAAAAAAACUAUCAGUCUUUAAAUUUACGAAUAUAUAUUAAAGGUUCGUUGGUAAAAGCUAAUUGUAUUGGUGAGUUAUGGGUUGAUAGAAAUAUAUUUCUGUAGAGAUAUUUUUGGUGUACUUGCCAGCUUGUAAUAAAUUCGCUUUUUCUUACAUAGAUUUAUUUAUUACGAAAGAAUAUUUAAAAUAAAAGGAUGAUAAAAAAAAAACUCAAAAAAGUAGGAUUGGUAGGUAAAAAAGGAUGCAAACAUAAAUAUAAUUUCAUGAAAUUUAUAUUCAGAUUUGUGAUGUAGAGAGAACCAAAGCGGGUCCAACUUUGACUUUACACCGAUUUCAUACGUACGCGUGUGUGUAAGAUAUAUAAAAUUUGCCCACUACAUCAUCUAGUACACGAUAAUUUGUAAACUUUGGAAUAAUGUUUUGUCAUAAUCACUGAAAUAAUGAACAGGAAAGUGUAAAUCACUCGUGCCUAAUUAAUCGAAAAAAAGCUUUACUUCUUUACUUCAUCGGAAUUUUCUGGUAGAUAUAUGUGUCUAUAGGAAUAUUUAGAACGCUCGUUCAUAUGCAUUCAUCAUCAUGCAAGAGUGUGAAGGCAAAAAUUAUAUAUGUGCAGACGACAAAAAAAAAAAAAAAAAAAAAAAGUAACUCCUACAAAGUACUUAUCAUCUCAUCAUCAUCUUUUCGCCGUUGAUUAUGGAGAAAUUUCCUUAUUCUUCCUCUUUUUUUUUUUUCUUUUUUUUUUGUAGAUUUACGGAGAAGAAUAUAUGUAAGAAAAUAUAAAAAUCGGUGGAUCUACUAUUAUGAGACGUGUUGAAAGUAAAAUAAAAACUGAAAAGGGUAAAUAAUGUGGCCAUAUAUAUAUAUAUAUAUAGCGAGAUGAACUUAUGAAAGUACAGUUGUAUAAAGCACUAACAACUGAAGCCUCACUCGAUAUUAUUUCUAAAGCGAUUGAUGCACAUCGUGCACAAAUACACCCCAUAUACUAUACACUAUCCAUAUAUUGUAUUCUACUGCAAAAUAAGUGUUACGAACUAGUUUUAUUUAACAAAUACAAUAUAUUUUGUGUAUUAUUGUAGAGACAGAAAUCAAAACACUAGCAUACAACUCAGAUGAGGAUAUAUAUAUAUAUAUAUAGUAACUAUAGGAAUAUAAGCUAGAGUUAAUCGAGAUCCAAAACUCAAUGCAAUCUCCAUUCUCCUUUAUUUUUAUAUAUAUAUAGAACCAACNNNNNNNNNNNNNNNNNNNNNNNNNNNNNNNNNNNNNNNNNNNNNNNNNNNNNNNNNNNNNNNNNNNNNNNNNNNNNNNNNNNNNNNNNNNNNNNNNNNNNNNNNNNNNNNNNNNNNNNNNNNNNNNNNNNNNNNNNNNNNNNNNNNNNNNNNNNNNNNNNNNNNNNNNNNNNNNNNNNNNNNNNNNNNNNNNNNNNNNNNNNNNNNNNNNNNNNNNNNNNNNNNNNNNNNNNNNNNNNNNNNNNNNNNNNNNNNNNNNNNNNNNNNNNNNNNNNNNNNNNNNNNNNNNNNNNNNNNNNNNNNNNNNNNNNNNNNNNNNNNNNNNNNNNNNNNNNNNNNNNNNNNNNNNNNNNNNNNNNNNNNNNNNNNNNNNNNNNNNNNNNNNNNNNNNNNNNNNNNNNNNNNNNNNNNNNNNNNNNNNNNNNNNNNNNNNNNNNNNNNNNNNNNNNNNNNNNNNNNNNNNNNNNNNNNNNNNNNNNNNNNNNNNNNNNNNNNNNNNNNNNNNNNNNNNNNNNNNNNNNNNNNNNNNNNNNNNNNNNNNNNNNNNNNNNNNNNNNNNNNNNNNNNNNNNNNNNNNNNNNNNNNNNNNNNNNNNNNNNNNNNNNNNNNNNNNNNNNNNNNNNNNNNNNNNNNNNNNNNNNNNNNNNNNNNNNNNNNNNNNNNNNNNNNNNNNNNNNNNNNNNNNNNNNNNNNNNNNNNNNNNNNNNNNNNNNNNNNNNNNNNNNNNNNNNNNNNNNNNNNNNNNNNNNNNNNNNNNNNNNNNNNNNNNNNNNNNNNNNNNNNNNNNNNNNNNNNNNNNNNNNNNNNNNNNNNNNNNNNNNNNNNNNNNNNNNNNNNNNNNNNNNNNNNNNNUAUUUUUUUUAGUACUAUGAGGUGUUAAAAGAAAAGUUAUAGUAUAUUGUACUUAAGUUUUUUUUAAUAUCUGUCGUAUAAGUUUUAAUGUGAUCGUUAUAUGUGUGCUAAUUAAAUAAUAUAACAGUAUUUGAUUUUGACAUUAACUUUUUAUAUAUUGUUGCAACAUUGUUCCAUAAACCAGUGAAAUUUUUUUGGUUUAUAUCGACCAAAAAAUUUAUCAUUUUAUCAAUAGCACAUUAUUUACUAGGCGGGGAGUCAAAUUCUUUAGGUAUGAACAGUCUGAUGAUAAUUUUCACAUAGUUAAUAAUACCGAAUGUUAAUUUGAUACUAAAGAUUUGGAGAAUUUAAAGGUGCAUCAUUAGGGGGAAGUGACACAAACCGGAGCUUCCGAGAAUAAUGGAUUUAAGGCAGAUUUGACAAGAAAGUGCCGCCCGAAUUGGGAUGUCAUAGGCUCAUUCAUAUGGCAAUAUCUGCUGAUCUUACUUACUUAUAUUGUAGCUUUGAUUUGUCCCUAUCAAAACUUUGCUGCUUUAUGCACCCCUGCCUAUCUAUAUAGCUAAUACCAAACCCCGCCAUAUCAUUCAAUUCAACACUCUCGACUUAAAAUUGUUUCCUAAUUAUUAUUCAGAGAACAAUGAGUUUGUUGUUUGCUGUUGGUACUAUUUUACUAUAUCUAUCGCCAACAGUUUUUUAAUAGUAGUAGAUGGGUUCAUUCAUAUUUGUCAACGCAAGAACCGAAGAAGGUUCAGUUUGGGCCUAUAAAUAUGGAAUUGAACCCAUUAACUCUUCCAUUCGCUAUAUAAAUAAUUUAUUUUUAUUUUGUCGUUUGCCUUUUUUUUUUUUUUUUUUUUUUUUCACUUAAACAAUCUAAUCUAUAUAUAGCAGAAGUGCGUAAUUAUGACUUUGCGAUAAAACCGUGCAAUUGAAUGUUUUUAUGAGAAAAAACACAUUGGCUAUCUUCACAUAGGAGUUGUACAAACGUUAUUUCUGAUUAAAAAAAAACACAAAACCAUUUUUGUUUUCUUUGCAUUUUGUAAAGAAAUCAAAGCCAAAUCAGAAAUUUACUCUUUUACGACAUACUAUUAGAUGAUACAUAUAAGUAUAACGACUAACUUUUCUCCAAACGAGUAAGUUAGAGCUUAUAAAAAUAGCAUUAUAGACAAUCCUCUUAACUCUAAGCUCUAAGCAGUAUGACACUAAAUAAUGCCGUCAAACAAACUCUUCCAUCUCCAAUAGUGAAUUCCUAAUUUCCUAUGGUUGAGGCUUGUAACAAACUAAGAAUAGAUUCCUCCGAUCAAGUAUUAGAAGAUUCAUAAAAUGUAGAUUUAAGGGGAAAAAAAAAAAAAAAGAGAGACAUGGCAGAGCAUAAUUGCUAAUAUUUUCUCUCACUUUUACCCAAACGAUGUAGACUCAAAAUGAUUUGAUUCACAUGUUAGUGUUAGUGGCAUGUGCCAAUCUCCCACAUUUUCAUUAUUUCCUCAAGUCUUAUUCUCCACUUUCUUUUGGUUCAUUUUUAUACUUUAUUCUUCCCCUAGUCCGAUCGAAGAGUAAAAAGAAAUCUUAUGAGUGGAGGAGAAUAACACUUGAGACUCAUCAUAAUAUAUGUAUGCACUUUAUACAAUACAUAGUUCUUAGUUAAUAUAGGAUUAAAGUACAUAUUUUCGACGUAAAAUACAAACAUAACACAUUAGUUAAUACUAGUUAAAAUUUGGUAAGUUUUUGUAUAUAGAAAACAAGAAAAAUGUAGAUGUUAAUUAAGGAAAAACAAAAUAAGAAAAGGAAGGAGAUAAAUUCGAGCUCAAUGAUAUGAUGCAGAGAAAGACAAAGAGACCAACUUGUGUCACCAAUCAUGUUUUUAAUUAACUAUUUCCUCCCCACAUUUCAUGUUCUUCUAUCCUAAAACUCUUUUAAUAGCCAUUUCUAUAUCCACCUUCAGGCCUUUUGUUUUGAUAAUUUUUAAAUUUCACUAAAAUCUUAUUACUGUACGUAAUCAGCCGAACCGACAAAUCUAAUGGCUUCUGCUUCACCGUCAUUUUUUAAGAAGAAUGGCAUAUAUUUUCUCAUUCAUGCCACUAUCCAUUUUUAUUGAUAUGUGAUAAAUUGUGUGCAGCCUUGAGAGACUAGUAGAUCUUAACUAAAGUUUUAUCAACACAUGUUUAUCUCGGAUUUCAAAGGGACACAUCACACAUGGAAAUGUGUAUGUUUCUGCAGGCAUAGUUCUUUUGUCGUUUAAGUCUUCAUUGCUAUGAGAUGAAACAAAAGCAGAAACGUAUAUACAUGAGGAAUACCACAUAAAUUUUCUGAUAUUAUGUUUUUUUCUUAACUGUAAGCGACAAAGUCUUUCUUAGGUUUAUAGUAUUAUUAGCUGUUGAAAUGCCAAUACUAAUUCACCAAUAUGAAGUAUUUAAAAGUAUGGUGCCUAGCUAUAGUUUUUAGCCCUUGCCCUUCUAAAGACAUGAGGCAUGUGGAAUGUUUCUGCACAGCACAUACGCUCCUCCCUCAUUUACGAAAAGCUCAUCAACUGUUUUCUUUUUUUUUUUCUUCUUUAUAGAAAUCAUAAUUAUAAGAGAGAUCUAUUUAGAUUCAUUUAAAAAGAAUUGUCAAUUAAGAAAACAGGUGACGUUUCUCACACACAAUAUCUUAAGCCUCGAUUGGUAACCAUGAUUUAGGAAAAAAAUGAGAAGGAAUGUGACAUUCCUAUUCGUUCCUCAAUUUUUUUACCAUUUACAAGGAAUCAUUUUUCCACAUCAUUCCUCUACAUUCCUCACAAAAUGAGGAACAAUAGAACAAAAAUGUUCCUCCCCAAAAUUGAUGAGGAACAAAUGGAACAAAAAAAAACAAAUAUUAAAAUUCGUUUUUUAUUUUAAAAUAAAUAAAAAAUUAUUUAUUAAUAAUAUUUUAAUCUCAUAAUAUAAUAUUUUUCAUAUUUUUAUCAUGUAUUGACAUUAAAAAAUAUUUUUGAUAUGAAUUUCAUGUUAAAAAAUCUUACUAUACAUUAUUUAAAAUUUGUAUGGAUAGUAAAACAUAUUUAAGAGAUGUUUAUAUCAUAAAUAACAAAUAAAAAAUUACUAUAAUCUAUAAUAGGUUAAUAUAAAUUAUUAAUUUUUAACAUUAAAUAUUUAAAUUCAUUCAAAAAUAUAUUUUAAAAUUAGUGUCAAAUUCAUUAUAUAUAAAUUAUAUCUAGUAUUAUUAUUAAAAAUUGAUUUAUUUAAUCAAAUAUAUUAUAAAAGAUAGUGUUAUUGUUUGGUUACCAUUUAUUAUUUUGUUAUUCUCUGCAUGUUUUCCUUUCAUUCCUCAAAAGUUGUUUAUUCCGUUCCGUAUUGUUCUUUUUUUUCUUUUUCCUUUUGUUCCUCUAAUGGUUACCAGUAGAAGCCUUAAUUUUACUCUUUUUACUGGAAAAUGUAGUUGUAGUAACUAGACCAAAAGGUAUAUUGAUCAUAUAUUACAAAAAUAUAUCAAUUUUAAUAAUAUUUACUUCAAUUAGUAAAUAUGAUGUUUAUAAUUUGAUACAUGUUUAGAUUUUUAUACAUAAUAUUUUUUUGUAAAGAGUGAUUGUAUGAAAAUUAAAUUAAAUUGUUGAUGGAGAUGAUGAUGAAGAUAAAGAAGAUUCAUAUCAUAUCAGCAUAUGCUCACAUGCAUGAUCGAGCAUCUAACCUCAGGUGGCAACAAAUAACAUCAUGGCAUAUAUAUUAUUGAUCUGUUAAAGUAUACUAAUACAUACUAGUAAGUUCAAUUAUCCACACAUGCAGGCUUAAAAGAUACUAUAUUUCCUUUUCUAAAACCACAAUAACCAGCAAAUUCUUAUAAACUUGACUUCUAUGUCUAAAAUUGAAAGUCUCAUCAUCAUCCAUUGACCAAAAGUAUCUCCACCACCAUUGUUUUCACGCACCAAUUUUUGAAUUUAGUCUAACUGGCUACUUCAUCCUAAACCAAAGCACUUGUUUAAUUGCUUAGAAAAAUUAGAGUAAAGGAAUGUAACUUUUUAUUUUUAAAAGAGGAAUGUAACUUAAAAAAAUUGUGGGUUGACAAAGAAAAUGCGAGGUUGGACGGUAAUGCGAUCUACAAAUAUUCUUUGGUUGCACUGACAUUAUGAUCUUAAGUUUGAAAAUAAAAAAAAUAAAAAAACUAUUUGAUGAAACAUAGGAUACCUUUAAUUAAUAAUCAUAGUGGUUAAGCUUAGAUAAGCGUGGAUUAGGUUUUAGUAAACUGAUUAAGCGAAUAAUAAUUAAACAGAACCAGAUAAUUCUCAUACGUGAUUUUUUUUUGUAUAUAUAUAGAAUAAUAUAUUAUCAAGAAUAUUAUGGAUCAUGGUGCAACAAAUACAGAUAGAUAAGAAUAUACCAUAAACACAAAUGGAUGUACUCAUAUAUAAUUUUCAUGUAUAGACGUGUAGCUACAACUUUACAAGAACUAAGGAUUUGGCUUAUAAGAAAAAGUUUCAUGUGAAAUAUAUGCACUUACAAGGUUAAAAUCUUGUCUUCUUUUGUCACACUCGAAGAACAAUCAAUCAUAUAACGAUUUAAGAAUCAUUAUAAGAACUGUAGUUGAUUAAGUAAUUAUAAAGUAUGUUUGCCGACGGGUAAAAAUUGCACUAAAAGAUAGAUAUAGGAUUCCUUCUUUUAUCUUAUAUGAAACCCGAAUCUCGUGAUUAUGAUUAGCAAAUAAGAUGGCCCGACAGUGAUGGUAAUGAGAGUAAAAAAGAAAAACACAUGAUUAGCAGCUAAUUAUAUCACAUUUAUUUGUCUAAUUUCCCCCACAAAAUUUCCUCAUUUGUCAAUAUAUUGAUUGGGUCAUUCAUGCUGAAACAUAACAGCCUGCGCAUUGUAUAAUAUGUUUUGUAUGUCUCAGGCGGAACAAACAAUGUGUGACACAUGCGUUGAAUAAUUAAACAGACUAAUAUGUGAUUGGUGUGGUCUUUUUGCUAUUAAUGCCAUAUGGUAUCGUCCAAAAUUACUAGUAAUAUUAAAUUCUGAAUAUUUAAAUUCUGUGGAAAGUAAUAAUACUAGUACUAAUUAUAUAUUCCUUUCAUUUUCAAAACAAGUGUCGUUUUUAGACGAAUUUUCUCUUCAGCAGUGUCGUUUUAUGAAUUAUGAUAAUCAAUAUUUAUAAAAACAAAAUGUCAAACUUCUGAAAGUCAAGUUAGUUUUGAAGUUCACAGUUCGGUUUCAAGUGUUUCGCCAAUACGAACAAAUCCAUGGUUUUUGAUAUACGUACGUAGAAUGAUCACUUUUACAUUUUUACUACUGUAAUUAGUAGGCAUGGUUUUUUUUUUUUUUUUUUUUUUUUUUUUUGUCAUAAAAAAAUGGAGCUUGGUUUAGUUGAACCGAUGGAGAUGUUAAAGUGGGAGCCGUGGUCAUUAUCGUCAAGUUUGGCGGGCUCGAGAGGGAGAGGUCCAGUUUCCGAAUAAUCCGUCGGCGUUAACAUGAGGGUUAGCUUAGCUAGCUGGCAGGAAUAAAUAAGUCACAGUGAAGUCAAGAGCCACCCCACCAGCUGGCUUUGCAUGAUCACCGUUUUACCGCAACACCGUUCUCUCUCUCUCUCUCUCUCUCUCUCUCCUUAUUAAAAUAAUAAUGAAGGCAAAUGCAUGCAUGGUGAUGGUGCUUGGUCCGGUGUAAUUAGUGAGUGGUUCCGUAGGUCUCUGACUGAACGGUACGGACUGUAUGUGGAACAGCGCAAUGGUCUACUUGAAAAUUACUUACUAGCCUUUUACUACUAUUAAUUACUACAAAAAAUGAGUAUUAAAUUAAAUAAUUAAUACUAUACAUCUACAAAUGAAUAUUAUUAGGAAUUAAAUAUAGUAGUAGUAGUAAUCUUAAUCCCCAUAAAAAGAAAAAGAGAAGUAUGACAGCCUUAUCAAAGGACAUCCGUAAACAAAAAUAAAAGUUGCCAGCUCUGCAUUUAUAUUUAUAGAGAUUUUCGACUCUCUUUUUUUCUUCUAAUUUCUCAUCUCAGACACCCAAGGCUUGUAAAUAUUCAUUUAUUUCAUUCAUGUAUUAUAUAUAUUAGUCUUAAAUUAAAUAUAGGGCUAUUGUUUGUCACACCACCAACAAAAAAAAAAAAGAGAUUACUUUAUAUGCUUAUAAUAGUACAAUAAAUAUGGUGGCUUAAACAAAAGUUUGGCUGGCUUGAUAAAUACAUCUACCUUUCAAAAGACGAUUUUACCCCUCGAUCCUUGCUGUCUCUGACUACGACGAGGGUUUGAAAUCUCAUUUCUACGUGGCAUUUUUCUAGGAUUAGUUUUUGAUUUUUCUCAUAUUUAAGUUGGUCAAAUAGUUUUAACCAAAAACUCCAAAAAGUCAGUGAUCUGUUGACAUAUUUUUUCAUUCAUCAAAUUCUCUUUUUUUUUAUUUCUUUCUUAAAUUCUAUUUUAUUUGUUGAAUACUGAAUAGAUUAACUUUCUAAAAUGUAAAAUUUGUUUUUUUUUUCCUUCUUCUAGAAAAUAACUUCUUUCGGAUUUUUAUUUUGGUUAUAUGUAAACUAUAUAUACACACUAAAUUGUAAGAUCUUAAGAAAUUCCAAUACACAAAAAAUUAAAAUCAAUGGAGUCGGCCAAUUUAAUGCGGGGACUUUUUUACAACGACCCUAAAAAGUGGGUUUGAUAAAUGAAAAAUAUGUAUAUACUAGUAAUAAAGAUAAAAUAGUAACAUGUCGUGGCGCAUUGAAUAAUAUCCUACCAAGGUUUAGUGUUUUAAAUUUCUAAUAUGAUAGCUUUGCUUAUGGCUAGUGUGUGUAUAGCCCUGUAAACUUAAAAUUUAUAAGAAUUAAUUUUUGUUGAUAGAGUAACAUUUUGGGAACAUGAGAGUGAACGUGCUUGAAUCUGCGUGCCUUGACAUUUUUGAGCUCAAAAAUAAUUAUACCAUAAACUACUAAUUGCACGUCAGAACCCUUAUUUAUUAGUAUAUUAGUACUAAUUAACAUUCCAGUACCUUUAAUUUACGCAUACACUCCACAGAUGCAUUGUAUAACAUAUAUAUAUUUUCAUAAUUCGUUUCCUUUAGUUAGACGACGCAAUAAUACGAAAGUUGAUGUAUUAUUAAUUGUUCUAACUUAUAUAUUUAGCAAUAAUAUUAAGUCCAUCAAUGUAGGAAAAAUAAGUCUAAUUAGUUUAGUUUUUGGAACAGUGUGAAGUGUGAUCAAAGGAAAUAAUUCAAAGUCAACUAUUUUAGACUAUAUGUAAUUUUCUUCAACGACAAGUAGCCGUGAAGACACGGGAGUGAAGAGAGAGACUCGUGAGAUGAACAGAAGCAGCAGAAGAAGAAGAAGAAGAUCAAUGUCAUUAUCUCUGGGAAAUUAAUAAUUUCGUUUUAUUAAUCAAGGUUUAAUCUCAAUCCCAUUUUAUUUGAUUCUUUUUUUUCUUCUUCUCAUUUUCCAUUUUCAUUCUUUGCUUCUUCCUUUUCUAUUUAUCACGAGAUCUGUCUUCUUCCUUUUUUUUUUCCUUCUUUUCUCUUCUCUCUCUCUCUUCUUUCUGGACAGCAGUACUUGUUUCUUCUGUCCGGCGUUAAAAGCUUCGGUAAGAAGAAGAAGAAGAAGAAGAAAAAGAAGAAGAAAGAAAGAAAGCUGAGGGAAGCCACUUAGAUUCAAGUACGAGGAGAGGAAGGAAGGAGUGUGAUGUCUCAUUCUAGAAGGCUUUCGUUAGAACCUGCCAUAGAUUCAAUCACUGGUAGAUUCCGUGAUUUACAGAGACAUGAUGAUGACGUCAACAAACCUGACUUCAGAGAACUCGAUCUGGGUUCUCCUGUCUCUACCUUAAUGCCACGUGGCUCUGCUUCUUCUUCUGCCGCUGCUACUCCCACUAGCAGCUCCGGCUCCUCUGGCUCUGCCUCUGGCAAACCGUCGGUGAGUUCUCAGAUGGGCAAGCGUUUGGAUAACGGCUACAAGAGUCACUCCGGUGAGAUUUCUAGCCCCGGAUCCGGAAUGCCGACCACCCGUCUUCUUAAACCGGGUCAUAGAAGAUCUUCUUCCACCGGUACGCCGUUGAUCUUCUCUGGCUCUAGCUUCACCUCGGCCACGACUCACAGCUCCCCGCAAGGAGGUGGUAGUGGCGCUACGUCUGCAGUGUCUCCCAGUCCCGCCGUUUUGCCUGCCGGAAACAUUUGUCCGUCCGGUCGGAUCUUGAAAACCGGAAUGGCGAGCCGGACCUCAAGUAGGACUGAGACUCUUUGCACAGGGACUGGAAAUUACGGACACGGAAACGUUGUUCGCAGUGGCGGAGGUGGUGGAAGCGGCGGAAAGCCGGUGAGAGCGGCGGAGAACGGCGAAAAUCCGGAGGAGUUGAAGAGAUUGGGGAAUGAUAUGUACAGGAGAGGGAGGUUCUCUGAAGCUCUAUCGCUUUACGACAGAGCAAUUUUGAUUUCACCGGAAAAUGCGGCUUAUAGAAGCAACCGUGCGGCGGCUCUAACGGCGUUAAGACGGUUAGGUGAAGCCGUUAAAGAAUGUCUUGAAGCUGUUAGGCUUGAUCCUUCUUACUCUAGAGCUCACCAAAGACUAGCUUCUCUGUAUCUCAGGUAAUCUUGAGAUUUUUCCUCUUUUUUUUUGGCUGCGUUGUCGUUGUGUGUUUAGUUUAAAGAUUGAGAAUUGAAAUGAUGGAUUGAAUUGUUGCUUUAAGACUGGGCGAAGCUGAGAAUGCAAGACGUCAUAUCUGUUUUCCCGGGCAAUGCCCGGAUCAAGCUGAUCUCCAAAGGCUGCAGACGCUGGAGAAGCAUCUGCGGCGAUGCUGGGAGGCUCGAAAGAUUGGCGAUUGGAAAACCGCGAUUAAAGAAACAGAUGCAGCCAUUGCAAACGGCGCUGAUUCGUCUCCCCAGGUGAGAGAUCAUUGCCAUGAGAUCGACGUUUUCUUGGAUUUGCUUGUAAAGAUUUUUUUUAACUAAUGGUGAUAUAUAUGUUUUGAUUGGGUUGGACAGCUUGUAGCUUGUAAAGCUGAAGCCUUUUUGCGUCUUAGCCAAAUAGAGGAUUCAGAUUUUUGUAUAUCUUGCAUCCCAAGACUGGAUCAUCAUCAUAAACAGUCUCAUCUGCAAGCUAAACUCUUUGGUACGGUAGCUGAAGCAUAUGUGCUCUGUGUCCAAGCUCAAGUUGAUAUGGCAUUAGGAAGGUGAGCUUUCGAAACUCGGAAAAGUUUUGUUCGUUGCUUGUAUGAUUUUCUCGGCCGGUGAGUGAGUAAAUAUGAUAGGUUUGUUGCAGAUUUGAGAAUGCGGUUGUAAAGGCAGAGAGAGCUGCAAUGCUUGAUCAGACCAAUCCCGAGGUAGCAUCUAUUUUAAACAAUGUGAAGAUGGUUGUGAGGGCACGUACUUGUGGUAAUGAGCUAUUCAGUUCGGGGAGAUUCUCGGAAGCGAGUUUAGCUUAUGGAGACGGUCUCAAGCACGAUGACUCCAAUUCGGUUUUGUUCUGCAACAGAGCAGCAUGUUGGUAUAAACUCGGUUUGUGGGAGAAAUCUGUUGAAGAUUGUAAUCAUGCGCUGAAAAUCCAGCCUAGUUAUAUCAAGGCACUUCUACGAAGAGCUACUUCAUAUGGAAAGGUGGGAUUAUAACUCAAUAUAGUCCAGUUAUUGACUAAAUUUGAUAGUGUAUUUGAAUGACAAUGUUUGUUGAAAUAUAGCUUGGGCGAUGGGAGGAUGCGGUUAGAGAUUAUGAGUUCUUGAGAAGGGAACUUCCGGGAGACAGCGAAGUUGCAGAGUCUCUAGAGAGAGCCAAAACCGCGCUAAUGAACAGAAGCCAAGAAUCUAAAAGCUUAGGAUUCAACAACGAAGUUGAAGCGGUUUCGACUUUGGAUAAGUUCAAGAGCUCGGUAUCAGUUCCCGGUAAGUUUAAACAGAAAUACCAAAUGUCUGAAAGGUUGAGAUAUUGUAUGCCUUGCUCAAGUGAAAACUUUUCUUCAGGUGUCUCUGUGUUUCAUUUCAAGUCAUCAUCAAACCGACAAUGCGAAGAAAUCUCUCCAUUCAUCAACACUUUAUGUCUCCGGUAUCCAUUAGUACAUUUCUUCAAGGUAAGAACAACCUUCCAAAUACUCCUUUCUUGAUCACAGUUUUGUCUACACUUAUAUAUAUAGUCUCAGUGUUCUAACCGAGAAAAUGAAAUGUUAUUAGGUGGAUGUGGAGGAGAGCAUGGCGUUGGCGAAGGCAGAGAGUAUCAGAAAAGUUCCGACAUUUAAAAUGUACAAGAAUGGAGAUAAAGUGAAGGAGAUGGUUUGUCCGAGCCAUCAGUCUCUAGAGGACUCUAUAAAGCAUUUCCUCUUAUAAUUGAAAACGCCCUAUCGUCAUUCUCUGCUUCCCUAUGAUUCGAUCAGAAGAGCCUAUUUAAAGACUUAGAAAGCAAUCUUUGUGAAAGAUGGGAAAGAGCUAUUAUAUCAAAUUCAACAAACUAUUCAUUCUUUCUUCUAUUUUUGAUUCUAAUUCUUUUUUCUUUUUUUCUUUUUUUUUGGUGGAGUUUGACUCUGCUGGCUUUGGCUAUAUUACAUAUGAGUAAAUGUUGGGAAGGAUUCAAGAAAUGCAAGCUUCAUUAUCUAUUUCCCCUUAGACUUGUGAAUGCUAGAUUAAUACCAUUACAGACCAAAGAGCUAUAAAAGAAACUGAACAUAGUUUUUUUUUUCUCUUUGGUGUGGUUGAUACAAUAAGCGGCCACAACAUGAAUCAGAGAUUGGAAAUGGAGAAAAAAAAAAGGUAGAGCGUACGUAAACCAAACAGCUUGUCUCUGAACAGUUCAGAGAUGAAGGGAUAUAUGAUUGAAUCCGUGAGGACAUAUAGUAAGACGACAGUACUGAAAAAUAAAUUACAAAUAAGCAGUGUCCUGAGACAGGCAUCAAAAUACAUUCAAACCAGGAGGUUUGGGACUAAUAAUAAUACAGGAAACAGAGGAACUCUAAGUUUCGUUAUUAUUCACCGCACAUUCAGUUGUUCUUGAAACAUGUUGACCAGUGCUGCUGCUGCGGGAGUACACAUCAGAUCACUGCAUCAAGAGCAAAGUUAUCUUGUAUCAGAACUGACUUAUUCGAUUCACUCCAAGGAAAGGAAUCUUUUCUACUUUACCUCUGCUACAUCUCCACCAGCUUUGGUAGUAGAACCAUUAGUCUUAAUGGAAUCAUCGGCUGCAUAUAUAGGCAAAAUAAACAUUUGAAAUCCGCAGCGAAGUAUGAAUCAUUAUGAGACAGGGAAUCAUUUUCUGGAUGCUAUUUCAACAUUCUAUCAUCAAGAAUGUCCAUGGAAAUGCUUAAAAUGUCUUAUAGAUUCAUUGGUUUCCAACCAAAACAAAACACCACACUUGAGUAAUGACUCAAUACACCUAGAAUGGAACUUUGUAAGACAUCAAAACAUCAUAAUUUAAGAGAUUUCUUAGGCCCAGAAUGAUCAUUACCUCCUUCUUCUGGGAUGUCAGAAGUCCACAAGGUCAGAUUGUCCCUAAGGAGUUGCAUGAUUAAGGUGCUAUCUUUGUAAGAUUCUUCAUUCAGUGUGUCAAGCUCUGAGAUAGCAUCAUCAAACGCCUGCUUAGCAAGGUGACAUGCCCUGAAGAGAAAAGAUAAAUAUAAAAAAAAACAAUCUCAAAUCUCCAAAAAAAAUGAGUCUUUUCUUUUCUUAGUAUAAUAAACAAACCCAAAACCUUUCAGGUGCGUUCAUGAUCUCGUAGUAGAAGACAGAGAAAUUCAAAGCCAGACCCAAUCUGAUAGGAUGUGUUGGUGGAAGUUUAGACUCAGCAGCAGUAGUAGCAAUCUACAAAGGAACCAAAAAACUCAACAGAGAAAAUCAAGUGAUCAAUAAAUAAAACUAUAAAUCACAAGUACAACACCUCAUAGGCUUUCAAAGACUGAUCAGCAGCCUCUUUCCUCUCAUUCCCUGAUUUGAAUUCUGCAAGGUAGCGGUAAUAGUCACCUUUCCUGCAAAAAAAAAAACAAAAAAAAAUCUUCAGAUACAUAACCUAAAACCUUAAAUUUGUAAAGAGCAUCAUAGAGAGCUUACAUCUUGUUGAAGAAGACAGUUGAUUCACCCUCAGAAGCCGAUGGAAUCAGAUGCUCAUCUAACACAGACAUUAUAUCAAUGCAUAUGUCUGAAAGCUCUAACUCAACCUUCUCCAUAUAAUCUUUGAUCCUCUUUACAUUAACAUCAUUCCCUUUCACAGCUUCUUUCUGUUCAAUCGAAGAGAAGAUCCUCCAGGAAGCUCUCCUAGAACCAAUCACGUUCUUGUAUCCUACAGAGAGCAAGUUCCUCUCUUCCACGGUCAGAUCAACGUUCAAUUUCGCAACAUUUUUCAUUGAUUCCACCAUCUCUGUAGAAAAGAUUUCACAUUUUCAAUACCCGUCAUGAAAAAAUCGAGACUUUCAAUCCCAAAAAUCGAAAAAAUCCCAAUCAAACCACUGAAUUAGAAUUACAAAGAUCAAACCAAACGACUAAAAACCCUUCCGAUAAAAAAAAAAUCAAAAUCCAGUAAAUAAAACAGGAAUCGAGCUAAAGCAGCUAUGAAAAAAAAGACCUGACAACGAGAAACACAGAGAACCCAUUUGAAAAGAUAAGAAGAUUCUUUUACCUUCAUAACGCUCAGCUUGCUCAGAAAGCUUAGCGAGGUAGACGAAAGCGUCACGCUCUUUCCCAGAAGCCAUGUCCGAUCACUCAAGAUUUUAAAAGUAUCAAAUUCCAAAAGCUAUAUUUUUUUUCCCCAACUGAUCCGAGUCAGUGUAUAUCUCUAGACGAUCACUGUUCUUUUGUGUGUUUUUUUUUUCUCCCAGACCUUAGAGAGAGAGAGAGAGAAAUGUUUGAGACGCGCGUAGGGACAGAAGCGUAAUUAACGCGGGGGUAAUUAGAACACAAAGGUCUGUGUCAGUAAGUGAUUUUAUUCAUUAUUUUAUUCCUCGUGGGAUCCAUUGGUUCUUUCACUAUCCAACCAUAUCAUGCCACGUCAUCACUCUCUAUCCACCACACCACUCAUUUUUUUAGUACUUUAUCUUCCCAUCAUCUAAAUUCUAUAUUUCUUCCUAUUCAAAUAAUAUAUUAAUCUUCUACUUUUUUCAAUCAUAUGUAAAUAGGAAUAAUUAAUCUUCUAUUUUUUUCAAUCAAACGUAAAAAGGAUUAAUUGAUCUUCUACUGUAUUUUUCAGCCAAUCUACAAUAGUAAAAAAAACUGCAUCUUAUAAAAAAUAAGAAAAUACACAUACGGUAUAUUGAAGUUUACGAAUUUUUUGGUCAUCUAGAUAUUUAACAAAUCUUAACCUUUUUGUUUUUGGUGAAAAUAACUUUUCAAAUUUUAUUUUUUUACUAAUAGUUUUUUUUGGUAAGUUUAUAAUACUAUUUUACUAGAGUAAUAAAUUAAUAUUGAUAAUUUCACGGGUAUAGAGUAAUAAAUUAAUAUUGAUAAUCUAGCUAGAUUACUUUUUAAAUUUCAUUUCAGAAAUUAUGUAUAUUUUAGAGAUAUAAAAAUUGAACAAGAGAAUAAUAUAAGAAAUUUAUAUUGGCUUUGUUGAGUGUUGGGGAUCUGGGCUUUCCUUCUUUGGGUAAGCCUCAGGGAUCGGUCUCUGGUCGUGUAUGCCGUCAGAUUCGCAGAUCUCCCCUUCUCCAGUCGGUCGCUUGCUUGUUUUUCUGGUUCUGGUUUCGUCAGGUGAGUAGAUCUCUGGGUUGCGCUUAAUUGUAGGUCUUGGGGUGCAGAGAAAGGCAGAUGUGAGCAAGGUUGUGUAUCCGGCAGCGGUGGGUAGGUUUCCUCCAUCGAUGCAGCUGUGGCGGUGUUGAAUCAUUGGAGGGUCGAGUAGAACCAGUCUAGGGAUUACUUUUGGUAGAAGACGCCAUUAGUUCCCUUUGGUGUUCUCUCACGGCUCAAAGUUCCAAUGGCCGCUACGGUUUGCGGCGGAAGUCGGUGGUAGGAUUGGUUGGUUUUGCUGCUUGCUUGGGGUUAACAGUAGAUCCUUUUGGGUCUUAGAUGGCAGUUGCGGAGGUUCGAUCUUGAGAGUUUAGCUUGAGCAACUUUGGUCUCUUUGAUUGCCGCUUCUGUUUCCUCCGGCCAAAUUGUUUGCUCCUUGCUCGGAAAUAACAAGCAUCUACAGAUCUGGAAGUGGGGGUUAGCUCUGAGUAUGGCUUGGUUGCUAGGCAUGGGACCGCCAUCGUAGAGCCUGUUGUCUGUGGUUUGGACAGGUCGGGAGUUUUGUUCUAGGUCAGGUAAAUCUCGGAAGUGGAACCGGCGUCGGAUUUUGAAUGCUUCUGGCAAUGUCUACACUUCACGGUCUCUACCGCAAAGGAGUCAAACUCGCAUUCGCCGGAUUUACUGUUCAAGCCAUUGCCUCAGGUCUUCAGCAGGAGCAGAUCCCAUUUUCGGUGAUGGGCCUAGAUGUUUUGUUAUUUCCAUUUUGUAUCUGUUUUUUUUCUUUGUAUUUUCUCAAGACCUGGCCCAAUUUUUAAAUUGGGAUGACCCAUUAAUAAAAUUGGUAGUUAAAAAAUAUAUAUAAGAAAUUUAUCAUAUACUCUCAUGAAAAAGCGUACAGAAGAGGGAGUCGGAGAGAUUUCAUGACAUCAUUAGGAUAAACAUAAUAACAUUACAUAGCAAUAGCAUAGAUUUAGGGAACGGUUGAAAGACGGUUUAAACUUGCUUAACCGGUGUUUUGCAUACCGGCAGCGAUACCCUUCAUGGUGAGGAUAACUGUGUCUUCAAGUCCAGGUGCGUACUCGCUCUUCGGAUUGAGCUUCACGAGCUCAGCCGCUGGACUAGACUCCAUGUAGUCCUUUGAAAGAUGUGGCCGGACUUUGACGUGGAAGCUUGGGUCACGGAUCUGCUUUAGUGUGUAGGCUUGGCACACGUUCAGUGUCGUGAUGUAUGGGUCACGUAGCUGCAGCCUUUGCCUCAAGUAAGGGUCACCUUCUAGAAUGUCCUUGUGACCUGCGACCUGGAAUGGUAAAGAAACAUGCGGGUUAGUUUGCGUUUUAGGUGGUCUGUCCAACUGCUGCUCAUGGUUGUAAUGGCAUCUACUGUCUGAAACUCGACUGUAACAGGAUUUUAACAUCUAUAACGAUUAUCUAUAGUGGAUGUAAGUUACACCUGGAGGAGGAGGCGUCUGGUCUCUUGGUAGUUAACUCGAAGUUGUUCACCGAAAGGCUGAAGUUCUUCAGAGACUAGGAGGCGGUCGUACAGAGCUGCAAUUCCUGGAUCUCCUUUGGCGAAAACCAUUUCAACUAGAUCAAUUGUGACACGGAAGAAAGGCCAUUGGUUAUACAUCUCUUUGAGCAUGUUCAGAUUAUUACUGUCCUUCUGUAUCACACGUUUGAAUGCCCCUCCAAAGCCUAGCCACACGGGUAAGUGAAACCUCGUCUGAGUCCACGCAAAGAUCCACGGGAUUGCACGCAGCGACUCUAUUCCUCCGCUCGGUUUACGUUUUGAUGGUCGGCUUCCUAUGUUCAUUCUUCCAUACUCAAGCUCCGGUGUCGCCUGUAACACAAACCCGAACUCAAAGUUAAGACUUUCUUUAACUACAAUUCUGUUUAUGAAAGGAGUAUAUUGAGUUGGUUAAGAACUUACCAGACGGAAGUACUCAACAAAACGAGGCUCCUUAAAGACGACAGAACGGUAUUCUUCAGUGGCUAUUAUAGCCAUUUCAUCCAUGAGGACACGCCACUCAGGCUUAGGGGAAACUGGUGGAUGCAUCCCGUGCUCAAGUGUAGCAGCUGUGAAACGCUGAAGAGUUCUAAAGCAUAAGUGCUCUUCUCCGAAAGACUGUUCGAUAACUUCACCUUGAACUGUUACUCGUAAUUGCCCAUGAAUGGUGUCCGGAGGCUGAGACAAAAUAGCAAGAUGGGUCGGUCCACCUCCUCGUCCUACAGUCCCACCUCUUCCAUGGAACAUUGUGAGCUUGACUCCAUAUUCUUUUGCCACCUUCACAAGCUCUUCUUGAGUCUUGUAUAGCUGCCAAGCCGCAGAAAAGCGACCAGCAUCUUUGCCCGAGUCAGAAUACCCAAUCAUGACUUCUUGCUUCCCGUUGAUCCGGUUUCUGUACCAUUCUAUGGAGAAGAGACGAGCUACUGAGGCAGGAGCGGAUUCUAAAUCUGCUAGCUUCUCAAACAACGGGACAACUCUCAGAGGAUGAGUAAUCCCGCACUCGCGUUGCAAGAGCUCAACAGCAAGGACAUCUGAUGGAGCAGUGGCCAUUGAGAUUAUAUAAGCACCAAAACUAUCCGAAGGAAGCUCGGAAAUGACUUUGAAAGUGUCCAACACAUCUGCAACCUCUUCGGUUCUGGGGAGAUCAGGUCCAAAGAGAGGGCGUUUUCCGCUUAGCUCAGAUAAGAGCCACUCCUGUCUUUUAUCCUCAGACCAUUCUUUGUAAGAUCCAAUACCUAAGUGUGUUGUGAUAGCAUCCAAGACAUCGGUGUGUCUGUCAGAUUCUUGUCGGAUAUCAAGUUUCACAAGCGCCAGCCCAAAUGUUGACACUUGGCGCAAGAAAUCUAACAGGCUUCCAUCAGCAAUAGGUCUGUCGCCGCAAUCACAGAGCGACCUGUAACAAAGCUCAAGUGGCUCCAAAAACUUUGGAAAGAAACAGAAACAACCAAAGGUUAAAAAUUAAAGAAUACAAUAGGAAAAAAACAUGAAACUACGUUGAUCCAUGUUUUGAUUCUCUUUCCGUUUGGGAUUUUUUGGUCUUAGAAAAAUAGUUGCUACUUACCAAAAUCAAAUCAACUCAACUAUGCAUUGGUUUGUACAGUUUCAAAGUUAAAUCAAAUAUGUUUUCAAAAGUAUUUAAGUUUCAGAUCUGGCCUAGAAUCAUAUCAUGAAAACAUAAGUUUUAGUCUUUGGAUUAUCUGGCUUAAACAUCUUUAGUUGAUCUGCAAUCAGCAAGAAAACCCACCUGAUCCAAACUUGUGAAGACAGCAUCUUCGGGAACGUCUGAAACUCCGCUUGACAAUAACUGACGUGCACGUUCUCGUGUGUUGUACAGCUUGUCCCUCACAUCUCCAAGAAUAGCUCGGUAAGGCUCAUUUGCAGGGAUUUGUUUCCAAAAUUCUACAUCCAUCCAAAAACCAAUUAUACAUCCAGCAAAGUGUAACAAACUAUUAUAAUCUAAUAUAGAAAUUGUCGGAGAAUGUAACAUACCUAUAUAGUGUUUUGCAUCCCUCUUAGCACACCUUUGAUGUUCUGCACGGACCCGAAGUUCCUCAUUGCAGCGCCACAUAGACAUCUGCAAAAAAAAAACACAUAUAAAACAGAAAGUAAGACCUCUGGCUCAUGUUAACAUUAGCAACCAAGAAAGUAAAAGCUGCAAUGUGAUAUAACUUUUCCUCACCUCAAACAUAAGAUCUUCUAUCUGGGAGAAGUAGAGAUUAGCAGCCAUCAUUCUAGCUAAUAAGCAUACAUCUCUCGUAACUUCAGGAGUUACUCGUGGAUUUCCUAGAUUCAGAAAAAAAUUCCACUAAUAAGAACCAAUUCAUGUUUUAAAUGGUUCAAGAGCAGAAAAAAGUAAGAGAGUACCAUCACGGUCUCCUCCCAUCCAUGAGGAGAAUUGAAUGAGAGGCGCAUUGUAAGGAACACGCUCAUUGAUUCCAAUGUUCUUUAAAGCCGUGUCAACACGUCUCAGGAAUUUGGGAACUCCUUUCCAGAUUGUCUCGUGGAAGUAGCUCAUACCCGCUCUCAUUUCAUCUUGUGGUGUAGGAGGAGUUCUUCGGAUUUCAUCUGUCCGAAAAGCAGCUUGAAUCUGGUGAAACAAAAACAGAGUUUUAGUAGAAAUCAUGCAAGACAAGCUUUCAUGGACUUCUUCGUUUGCAUAUAUACCUCUCGUUGAAGAGCUUCAUCAAGUUCUUGUUUAUCAUCAGGAGUAAUGUCUUUUGCGUAUAACUGCGUCAAACAAUCACGAAUCCUGAAAACAUUGAGACAAAAACACAUCAGCUAAUGUAAAACACAAGGCAUCAAAAUGUCAGGACUCGAGAAAAGUUAUUUAACAAACCUUCCAAACUUUUGGAGCAAAGACCGACGAACAGAUUGAGUAGGAUGAGCAGUUAAAACCAAGUCAACAGUUUGAUUCUUGAGAGCAUCAAAGACCUCUUCAGGAGUCUUGUUAAGCUGCAAAAGCCUCUUGAGAGUCUCUUCAAUGUCGGAUUCAGUAGUUGCAGAGGCCUCAUCAGCGAAAUCACCUUUCUUGAGUUUCUUAAUCCUACGCCGGUAAGCAAUCUGGACUUCCUCAGCAAGAUUAGCCAAGCUAAGCAUGUUGGAGAAUGACUUAGUGACAACAAUAGAAUCCCCUGGAUCCAAACUCGUCAGCAUAUUUCCAAGCUCCUCGAGCUUUUCAGUGUUGCGGUUUCCAUCGUAAUCAGCCGCAACCUCGUAGCACUCUUGAACCUAUUAGACAAAACAUAAACAUAAAUCUGAUUCAGAAAACCAAAGUAUUAACUCAACUGAGAAAAAAUCACAGAACACCGAAGUACUAACUCAAUGAGCCAUUGAAGCAAACAAAGACAGAGCAUAUCUGAAGAGCUAAAACAUGAACAAUUCUGAUGCCUACGUAGGCCCAAUUUCACUAAAAAGGAUUGAACUUUACGGAUAAUCAAAGCAGAAAGAACAAACCCAGUUCAUGAUUUUACUGAUAUGUAACCCAAAAUGUAUAUCAAAGUUCAAAAUUUUAAACACAAAAGCAGUUCUUAACAAAGGAGAAAGAGUGAGAGAGUGAUCUCUGAGAGAAAGGAACAUACGAAUUCUCGGACAUCCUCGCCAUGCAAAUCCUGAAGAAUAUCCAGAAAUCGAUCAAGCAACAGAGCAUCGUACUCCACAAGCUUGUCGUCUUCAGAGACCUUCCCAGGAGCAAGAAGCCUGAGCUGAGCAUCAAUUGAAGCCAUCUUCUCCAAAUUUCUAGCAGCCAUGGUUGAGGCUUCUCAGUUCCCUCUCUCUUUCUUUCCCUCUCUAACAAAACUGGUUAUAGAGAGAAUCUCAAUAAUUUUCCAGAAUGACACAAUCAGAGUAAAUCAAGGAGAGAAUAUAUCCGAAAAAAGCUGGAAACUACAGAAAAAAAAACGUCAAACAAAAAGAUUCACUUUUUAGAUUAAAUAAUGGAGAAGGACAAAAAAAAAGGAAAAAAGAGUGGCGUAGUAGAGUGGGAAGGAAGCUCGUGAGAAACCCAAACAAAAACAGGUGAAAAAAAAGAAGAAGAUCGAGAAGUUUCGUUCACGAGGAAGACGAUGGGAUAGAGAAGAAGAGAGAUGACAGGUGGUGAUAAAGUUUGUAUUUUUUUUUUGUUGGUUGUUCGUUCCUACUCUCUCUCUCUACUCGAAAAGAGUUUAAAAGCCUCUCUCUCUCCUUACAAAAUAAUCUAUCAGAAACGUAAGCUUCCUAUAGUCCAUUCGAUGUCUCGUUGUAACUUUUAUUUAUAGUCGAAACGUAAGCUCUUUAGUCCAUACAUUUCUUUUUUGGAUUAAAGACUAAAAGAGUCAAAUACACUUUAUUGCGUUUUUUAAUUUCAGAUUUUGUUGGAUUUAUAUACAGUAUUCAGGUUUUGAAUUGAUAGAUACGCUCUAUCUUGGUCCUCGUCUUUAACUACAGUAUAUCCCUUUCGUAUUAAACAUAGAUAUAGAAUUAUUCAAAAGUUUUAACUUACCAAAUUAUAUAAUAUAAAUUAAUUAAAGUAUGUAAAGAUCGAUCUGUAUUUAUAGGUGUUAGAACAUAGUCGACGUGCACAUAUAAAUGUUUUUAAAAAAAAACAAAAUGGAGUAAUACAAAUAUGAAGUUCUUAAUGAAUGCAUUGUAGUACGUCCGUCAUACAAAAAAUAGGAACGGGACCAACCUGCAUGUGUACGGUUUUGGUGGUGACUCUUUGUAAAGUGGACCAAUGAGUCCACCUAUUCGACUUUUCUUUUUCCUUUUUUUUUGGCUUCUUUUUAGUAUAGCAUGAAACUAAAUAUCAUUUAUUUUGUUUAAUUUACAUCUUAUGCUUUUGUACGAAAGCAUUUAAGAAAAUGUGAAAGCUUACUGAUGAUUAAGGGCAUUAUAUGGAAUAUGCCAAUGGAUAUGCUGAUUUGAUUUGCUUCUUUAUCUCUUAAGUCCUCAAUGGUUGCAAAGCCAUGCAUACACACAUGUAAGCUUUUCUUCUCCUUUAAUUUGUACUUGUAAGAUAUAUAAUUCCGAAAUUUUCAAAUUUGAUUCAGCAUAUAAGUAAAUAGUAUGGGGGACAUGUCUUUUUCUUUUUAGUUUAUCAAAGAAACUGACUAAAAGAUGAUAUCAAAGUAAAAAACUAAUUGUUAUCAGCAAAGAAAACUAUAAACAAGGUUUACAAAAACAAAAACUACUUGGUGAAAAGAAAAAAGAAAAAAGAAGGAAAAUCCCCAAAAGUUGUGGAAGGAGCCAGAAAUAUAUGAUUCGGCUUUUUUGCCCUUUUUGACUUUAAAUUUAAACGUACCACGUCUAUUACGGUCAUAUCAUAUAGUUUUUUUUUUUAAUAACUAGUGAUCAUAUUUUAUAUUCGUUUUCGUUAAUUGAUUCUCGAAUCUUAGAACAAUAUCACCAAACCAAAGAUUCUGACGAGUGGAAAAUAGAAUCAUAUAAAUCCCUUAUCGUAUCAACUUAUUUUAUCAAAGACCUUAUCGUAUCAAUUUUUUUUUAUAAAUACCAGACAAAUGGAAUCCGAUGAAAUUAUAUAAUCUAUUUUUAUCCAAUAUUCUUUCCAUUCUACAUUUUUUGCACAAAUAUAUUGAAAUUUAACUUUUGUGAGUUCUGUAAAUGAAUUAUAUUGUAUAAUCAGUAGCAACAAUGCAUCAGACGAUACAAUCAGAGAUUAUAUGAGCUUUAGAAAAUGUGAAAGGCCAAUGCAAAGUUUGUAUAUAACCUUUAAAUUUCUUCAAGAGUCGGACGAAAGAAACAAAUACACCACCAAUAUUAAAGAUUUUUUUCACUAAUAUGAGGUGUAUAUCAAAUAGUUUUUGCUCUCAUUUAAUUUCCCUAUAUAAAUCUGUAGCCACUAAAAACUUGACCAACCAGCAUCUCUAUUUUGUCCUGUACUUCUCAUACUUUCUCACAUUGAAUUUGUAUGUACGUGAUAUUUUUAUAAUUGAGAGAAUAAAAGACAAGCAGUAUCCGACGAUCUGUAUGGCAAAGAAGAUUUGUACGUACACAUAUAUGUUUUGCGUGAUUAACUCACAUCUUUUGCGUACACAUAUAUGUUUUGCGUGAUUAACUCACAUCUUUACGAAAUUGCUCUACUCUAAAUAAGAACUCUUUUAUGAACCGCAAGCUUUACUACUGAUUAAGAGAGAUAUUAUAUUUUUCAGUUUAUUUUCCACUCGUCAUACCAUUAAUAUCAAAACAUUACAGAUCACAUAAGUUAUAUUAUUACAGAUCAAAUAGAAUCAUACGAAAUUGCUCUACUCUAAAUAAGAACUCUUUUAUGAACCGCAAGCUUUACUACUGAUUAAGAGAGAUAUUAUAUUUUUCAGUUUAUUUUCCACUCGUCAUACCAUUAAUACCUAAUUGAGACUGAUACCCCAAACAAGUUAAGUCCGGUUAUGGAAAUGGACAAUCGUAACUUAUGUGAUCUGUAAUGUUUUGAUAUUAAUGGUAUGAUUGAGUUUAAAAAGAAAGAUACAAUAAAAGCAUAACUUUAUAUGUGAAAAUGAAAUUUGAGAUAGUGCAUGGUGGCUGGUGAGAACAUAUGCCAAAUGUUCUACGGAUAUUCUUCGGAUAUUUAUACGUCUGCGAACAUAUACCUAUUUGCAUACAACAAACUAUCAUGUAUACAUGUUAUAUGAUAAAUAUAAUCUGCAUUCAAUAUAACAUGCGUAUAUAUAGAUAUAUUCACACAAAAGUGCAUAAACACUAUAAUAAGUGUCUAGUGAUAUUGUAAUUCACGCACACGAGUUAGCAUUUGGUUAACUAACAUAUACUGUAGUUGUAUUCAGUAUUCAGUAUCACACAUGCACAAAGACAACACCAAGAAACGAAGACAAAAAAGUGUAACAGAGAGAAGUGUUAUAUUUUUAGAGAUUACGAUUGAACCGACCAAAUAUAAAACGACCUAUGACAAACCCAAAAGGUCAAAGCAAACGUUACCCGUGCUUCAAAACUCGAUUCGAGAGAGUGGUCCAAGUUAGCCAGAGAGAGAGAACGAAACAAAAAAGACGUAGAGGGCUAUAGCUAGCUCUGCAGGAAGCUUCCUUGAGAUUUUAAUUAGCAGAUAUUAUUUCAAUAAAUAUAGUCAUAUAAUACUAAAUAUUCUCUAUUACUAUAAAUUCACUCUCAAGUUUGGUCUAAAAAAAAAUAUACAUCUCUUUGUGAUUGUGACAAAUGUGAACUAUAUUGUUAAAAAAUAAAAAUUGAUGAAAAUGAAACAAUAGAGAAGGUGUUUUCUUGGGGUCGUUCAAACACGACAAACAGAAUAUUGAAACUUGAAAAGUCGGACACAAUUAAAUCAUGAGCGAGACAGGCCUGGGCUCAUCUCAGAUUAGCCCAUCUAAGUUCGACCCAAUAGCAAAAGAUGACCAGGUGGGAUCGUAAUGAACAAGGCCGUUUGGGUUGCAUUGCAUGGAAUGUGUUUGUUAAUCCAUGAUUUUGUGUGUUCGUCUUUGAAAUAGCCUGCUUCGGCAUUACAUCUCCUAAAAUCACUUUUGACUGUUUAAAAAGCCUCCAUUUCAGAAAGUGAAGUAUUAUGUAUUAAUUGGUUUCUUUUUCUUGCUCGAUCAUAUAAUUAUAUUAGAGCUAUUCAUAUAAGCAACUGAAUAUACAAAAUUAUGUGAUCAUUUUUUUUCUUCUAAAUUAUGAAUUAGUAACUACGAUCAGAAACCUAUCAACAAUGAUAAUGAGUAUUUAUUACUUUGUAAUAACAGUUUUAAACUCUCAAAUUUUUAUAAUUAAGAGAAUGGAGUUUACAUAACUAUUGGGUAUAUAAUUCCGUUACACAUACAUGUAAAUAUAAUAAUUACAUUUUUGUAAACCUAAAUUAUAAAAUAAAGUAUUCAUUUUUAUGUAUAUAAAUUCUUAUUAGAAACGUUUAUUACAUCUUUCGCUUCUUUUAAAUUCCAAAAUCAUCAAAGAUGGAAAUCUAAAAUAAUAUUAAACACUAUUCUCUGUCUUCUUAUGUUUAAUUUGAAAAUCGCAGGUGAUUUUUGCCACUAGUUUCACUAUAGCUUUAUUAGUGAAUGAUAUAUGUUAAAAUAAUAAAAAGAUAAAUUAAAAUACAUUACUUUAUUUUACUAUUUGAAUCUUGUUCCAAAUCUUUAGUAUAUUAUUUUUUGUCAGACUUGUCGAUAAGAUCUACUCGAGUGAAGAACGCGUUAAGUCACAGUUUAGUUCACUUACCUUAGCCAUCUCUCCUUAAACGUAGACUGACCAAUACAAUACUCUAUAAUCAAUCGGUUUUGAAGUUCAAUUAUUUGUUAUAUCGGUGGUGGUGGAUCAUUUGACUGAUGCCAAUUACAUUUUGUCUUUCUUUUCGUGAUAUCGACUUGUUGAAUGUGUAAUCAAAAACGAAUAAACUUUAGUUAUUGUCUCCCACUUUAUCUUCACAAACUUUCUCACGCACCUAUAUAUAUAUACAAUCCUUAAACAAAAUACUACAGUCCGAAACACCUGAUAAUAAUUACGAAUAUGUAUUGAUUAGUAUAUAUAUACACUACAUACCCAACCGGUUCAAGACUUCAUAACCGAAUAGAAAACCAAAUUAGAUUCCGGUUAAAAGGAUGAAUUGACAAAAAGGGAAAGGAAACAAAUAAUGAAAAAGAAAAUUGAGGGUGGGUGGGAAGACAGAUGAAUCACUAUCAACAAAAAGAGAAGCAAAGAAAAGAUUUGUGGGGGCUAAAGACUAAUGCAUAAGUGUGCCUUUGAGACUGUGACAUUUUUGGCAACUCAUGCGUGAAGAUGUUUCUUGCCCAUUGUUUCGUCUUUCAACAUGAUUUUUUUUUUUAUAUAUAUAUAUAUAGAUAUGUAUCAUCUAAUUUCUAGGGUUCUUUAAAAAAAAAAAAAAAAAAACUUCUUUUUGCGGGUAUCAACGUAACUUUCCAAACCAAGUGGUGCUCCACAUAUAGUAAGAUAGGUUGUCCUAUUGAUCGAAGACAAAACUUGAGCUAGACAGUACUGACUCGAACAUGGUUAAUCACUUUAUAUGUGACUUUUUUCAGAUACAUUAGAAUCAGACCUAUUACAGACCCUAUUUCACCAUGUUAUACUGGCAUUAUACCAAUCAUACAACACGAAAAUGUUAUUGUGAUGAGUUCGAACAAAUUAGGUAAAACUUUAUCACAGUUUUCUAUACAUACAUUUGUCAGUAAUUUAAACAUUUGAUUUAACAACAGAAACAAAAAAUAUUUUCCUAGAUUUUUUAACCUGUAAAUAUUGAUAAUGUCAUGCGUCCGUGUAAGAUAAAAGAUUCUUUCAACCUAUUCAAAGUAAUUUGCCAUAAGCCCAUAUGAUGACAUAAGAAAGAAGUUCGUUCAUUUUAGUUUUACAUAUCAGUCAAUAUGCAAUUGGCUAUUUGAUGAAAUAAUGACUUCAAUUCUUUAUACGACCCUAGUCUUAUGUGAGUAAACAAGGAACAUCUUCAUCCUCAGAAUAGUGUUGCGUUUAAAAUACCGUACAAAUGGUCAUAGGUGAAGCUGUAGAAAGAUUCUUAUAAGUGUUUAACAAUGUGUAAGAAAAAAAAAAAAAGACGAACUACGUUUAAAGUAACCUCUAAAAGAGCCGUACACUGCCCACUUGAUGACAACCAAAAUUUUAAAUAUAAAAGUGAUAAAACCCUAGAUAACGUCAGACAAUGUCGCGAUGCCCACUAAAACUUCUUACAGAUUUUUGGAAAGAGGUAGCAGAAUCUUUAAACAGUAACCAAUCUUGUAUGUGUAGAACUACUAUAGACGCACAGUAUACCUUUACAUCUACUUUUUAAACUGUGAAAUUUUGUAGAUCCACAACAGAAAUGGAACUGGCAGGUCUUGCAUCUUUGACCCAUUUCUAGUAUGUUACACCUGUAUAUAUCCAUAUAUAUAUUCCCAAGUUAAGAAAUUAGUAGGAUACCACUAAAUAGUCAUUGUUGUUUUCUUAUUAGGGAGAGUUUAGAAUGUUUUUGUUAAAGUAUUACACAGUUAGUUUUUUCUGCGCAUGUAUAAGAAUGAUUUAAUGAGUUGAGAAUAAUUCUAAGAGAUUAAUUAGAAUUAUACAAUUUUUCGUCAGAUUGGCUCAUUUGAAUUAAUAGUUUAGUAUGAUGUUGACCAAAAAAAAAAGAUUAAUCAGAAUUAUAUGAAAUUAAUAGUGUAAUAAUAGAUUAAAAAAAUAGAAUAAUCGGACGCCGCAACGAUUUAACAAGAAUUGUGUUAUUAGUUCCUUAAACCAACAACAAAAUAUAUCGGUCCCCAAAAAAAUUCAAUUAAAUUUGUUUGAUAAAUUAUUACAGUACAUGACUACAUGCUCUAUACGAAUACGUUUAAGUUCUUAAAAAACAUGAUUUAAAGAGCAAAUAAGUAAAACAAAAAUUAUCCUUUGAUUCAGCUAGUGUUCUUACUCUUUUUCCAUUUUUUGAUUUUAACAGUUUGCUAUGUAACUGCACGACGAGAGAGAAAUAUUAUUGAGGGUGAGCCAUAUGUAUUAACAGUUUGCUCACUGAGCCGUAUGUUUCUCUUAAAGCCCAAUUCAUAACUGGAGAUUAAGAAACCGAAAUGAACCAAGUUAAGAACGAAACCAGGAAUCAAACCGGGUGUUAUGCUAUGAGAAAAUUAGCCGGUAUUUGAGAAAUAAAGGCCGUACUAAGUAACCAACCACUUGUAAUAAUUGAAGCGAUUUGGGUGGUCUGCCAAGUCAUUUUGGAGAUCAAAAGUGAACCCUAGAGAAUGAAGAGACGAGAAACCAUAUAGUUCAAGCCACUUAAGCAUGGAAAUCCUUUAGAUCGGUCGUCUCUUUUGAGAAGCUUUCCAUAUGUGUUCCCUAACACACUCCCAACAAGUUCUUAACAACAAAUCUUUCCUAAGCGCAACAACCACACAAAAAAAAUUCUAUAGAAAGCCUUUUAUCGAAAAGAGAAAAAACAACAACAACAACAACACAAAUGGUUUUUGACUACAACAAAACUUGUGUGUCAUUUUCUUUUGUUUAUUUGUGUGUACUUGCACCCAUUUUUGUAUUUAUUUUCCUUCUGUUUUGUUGUUGUUUGCGAAGAGGUUUUGGACAAGAGGAGGUACAUGAACGAAGACACCAACAACUCUUUUCUUUCUAUUAGAAGUACGUAAAAACAUCACCAAACCUAUUUUCUAAUGUUCUUGAUUUUUAAGACAAACCAAAAUAGAUAGUUUUGCACGUUAACGUUGAAUCUUGGAAAAAAGAAAAUUUAUAAUAAUCUUUUUUUUUUAAUCUAAAAGAAUACACACAUGUUUCAUAAAUAACAUAUUUGAUAACAAAUGUCUUCCACAAAAGCCAAUCGAAUCCAUAACACUGUUUCAUAAUAAUCUAUAUAUUAGUCAUUUGAAAAAAUUUCAGGAAACGUGUAAUUUUUUUUAUUAACGUAACACAUUAAAGGAAUAAAAAAAACUAUUUAUAUAUAAGGUAUAUAAAAGUGGUGACAAAAAUAAAGGGUAUAUAAAAGUAUUUUAAAAAUUCUUAUUUUUUUUUUCUGCCAUAUGUGAACUGUGAAUUUUUGUUUCCUCAAAUAGUUAAUUUCAAAAAGUUUAUUGCAUUCGUGUAAUAUCAUAAUAGCCAUAGAAAGCCAGAUGCAUUAUUAAUCGUGUGGGCUCGUAAACUUAAAGAAUGCCACCCAAUAUUCAAACGAUCGAAUAAAAACCUAAGUGUAGAGACAACUUUGUAAACAUUUAAAAGUUACAUAAAACAAUAAUGGCUAUUAAAAUAUUAUAUCCUAAACAGUAAAAUUUGACAGGUUGGGAAAUAAUUGUGUGUAUAUGCAUACACAAAUCUCGUAACACAUCACAUGCCCUCUCUCUCUUUUGUUCCUUUUCUCGUUUCUCUUCAUCUUCAGUAGAUCACAUGGUUAGUUAACAAAUUUUAGUUUCCGAUCCUUAAUGUAUAAUUUAAAGUUUAAAAAAAAUAAUACAUAAAUUAUUGAUGAUAUCUGUGAAUGGAUGUUGAAUACAUACGGUAUACCCUCGAAGAUAUGACUGAAAUAUUAAGAAUGCAUUCAAUUAUAUCCUACAAUUUAAUACUAUCUACGAUUAUCAUUGGUGUUUAUUGGUAGUUUCUUAACCUAAAAUUUUGUUAAGAAAAAGCUUUUAUAUAAAAAAAAUUCUUAACAAAAUCUUAGGUUAAGAGACACCAUUAAUCAUGCUCUAAAUAAUGUUGGACCAACUAAACAAACACUUUUUUUACUCUAUUUAACCAACGUUUCUGAUGGAUUCGAAGCAAUUUGGUUACAAAUGGUCAUGAACGGACAACCAUUAUCUACAAUAACUACUACUAGCUAGCAUUUACAAAUUUUAAUUAUCAUGUUAUCACUUGUCAGUAGGAGGUAGCUCAAAAAUAACAUAUAUUUCCAUUACAAUUUACUGUUGUUAUAUUAUUACUCCUUUUUAAAAAAUCUCCAUCUAGUUUUCAUCGCUAAGCCUAUCCUAUCCAUUUUGAUUAAUGACUAAUUUUCGUUUAAACUUCGAUUAACUUUCGUUUAAUUUUCGAUUUUCUUGUUAAAUGCUAUGUCUAUCUCGACCGCUCGAUUAGCGUCUAGCAUUUUCUUAACCAAGGAUUAGUACUAAUUAAUAACGAUAUACAUAUAUUGUAUAUACAUUGCUCUACUUUAAAUGCUCUACUUUUAAUUCUUGAAACGGAUUAUUAGUCUUCUUUAUAAUAUUGUUAAUUGUAACAAAAAUGUGGGUGCAUGCGUGUUAGUUGGAGAUUUUCUGAACAGGUGACUUCCUUCUCCUCAAGAUGGCGUGAAUCUCUCGUUUUCUUACUUCCAAAUCAUUACAACCUAGACCUUUAAAUCUUCCUUCACGUAAACCAAAAAAAAAAAAAAACCAAGUAAUUUUCUAGAUCUAAGUUAUUCCGAAUUUGAAAAAAUGGUUCACUAUAUAUACUGUAUUUGGUUGAUAUUUAUUGCCGCAUAUAUAUCAUCAUACUAUUCUGUUACGGAUAAGCGAUUAAUUCUGAUGGAAAAAAAUGAUAAAAGAUACCAUAUGUAAUAACAUCAUCUCAUAGAUACGUACACAAGAUCUAACUAAAAAUAGGUAGAAUAUAUAGUGGUUAGUGAGUCAUAACCUAUAUUACCUAGUUUUCGUGAACCAAUCAGAGACAAAUAUAUAGAUGCUCACUCUACUUUACAUCUCGCUCAAUUAUUAUUUUCUAUUAUAUUAUAUAUAUAUAUAUAUAUAUAUAUAUUAUAUUGCAAAUCAUAGUUAAAUUAGGCUUUAAUUGGAAUUUAAAAUACACGUUAUGUGCAAUGUAUUCCGGAGAAGAAAACAAGACCCAUAAUUAGAAUUUAAGCAUUAGUGACAAAAAUUGACAAUAUUAUGAUAUUGACCGGUAAAGACUAGACAGACUAUUGAGCCCCUUCCAAAUAGUCGACGUAUUUGAAGAUAUUAAGUACACAUUACAUGGAAAAAUGCAAAGCAUCUUAUAUUUUUGUAAAACAAAAUAUAUAGUUCAAAAACAAUGAUGUCUCUGUGAAAGGGAUACAUAAUAAGGUGAGUACAAGAAGUUUUUAUAAGAAGAAUAGUUUAAACACAAUUUUUAUUUCAAUGGGGACAAAAAAAAGGUGAACCCUACAACGAAUUUUUAAAUAACCAAUUAGCGCACACACACACUUUCUCUGUCUAUCAAUAAAAUCGAUUGAAAGAUGGCAAAUACGUACGGGUCUAUAGAAAUAUCAAAUUGCAAUAACAAGGGUAUAAACAACUCAUCAAUACGGAAAAGAACGACCAUUUUUAUUUUUGUUGAUAUCGAAAAAUACGAGGGAAGAUCAUAUAUUUAUCAAAUUGGAUGGACUAAGGCACUAAGCCUAGGCGUGUUGUUAACAUGCAUUACUAAUAUUAUAUUUCUGAUGUAUUAAUAAAAGUGAUCAAUUCCAAACCAAUAACCCGUUUAUUUCAACCUUGGCCGUCUUUCAUUCUAAGGCGUUUUAAACAUUCGCAGACAACUCAGGACCGUUUUCCACAUUAUAUAUAAUUAUAUAUAUAUAUAUAUAUAUAUGUAUGUAACUAUGACAUGUUCUAAGAAAAAAAAAAGUAUGACAUGUUCUGAUGUUCAUUGUUCAUAUCUAUUUUUUCCUACGUGCGUUAGGAAAAUCCGAUAUGUGUACAGUAAUCACAUCUAAUAUUUAUAUCAUUUACUUCUAGGUUAUAAUUAGCAUAUAACACACCAUUGCCGUGCUAAUAAUACACUUGGAAGAGUGAGAUUUUCAUUAGAAUCUCUUUAGAAAACAGUAUGAUGAUCUUGUUGAGCCAAAGUCCAAAGUAGUUUCCUAUGGAAGAGUUGAAUCUUUUCACUAUUAAAAACCAGCUGGUACAGUGAAUGUCCAUUUCAAAAUCACGGUGAAGAACUCAUGCUGUAAUCCUUGUAAAUCUUUCGUCAUUAAACCACCAACAAAACGUAAUCGGAACAAAAUUAUUAAAACGAUACAAAGUAGUGUCAAGGAUAUAUAGCAAUACAAAAGCUGAAACGAAACUAUCAGUUUUAAUAUCGCUACUAGUUUCUUUCUUCUUUUUUUUUUGUGAUAGAUAAUUAGCAAAGGUAAUAUAUAUACUGCAAUGAUACUAGAUUACCACAAACUCAAUAUAUCCGUUAUCACUUUUUAUUACUAAGAAAAAU